AGCGGCGAAGCAUCCCCUUGGUGAGGACGACGGUGCCAGGAGCAGCACGGAGAGUGAGACAGCAUCCCCCGGAGGGUACGGAUCCCCACGGAGAGCGGCGGAGCAUCCCCGGGGUGAGAAAGGAAGCCACGGAGAGAGCAUCCCCCAGGGCAGCAAGCACCGAGAGCGGCCGAGCACCGCCCCAGAGCGAGGAACACGGAACCGGGAGCACCACGGGGACCCAUGGAGCAUCCACCCGGGGCA